UAAUACAGAGGUGCCAAGCGUUAGGCGGAAUCACUGGGCUUAAAGCGCGCGUAGGCGGAUGUUUAAGUGUCUUGUGAAAUCCCACGGCUCAACCGUGGAACUGCUGGGCAUACUGGACAUCUCGAGGCACUCAGGGGCGAGCGGAACAAGUGGUGGAGCGGUGAAAUGCGUAGAUAUCACUUGGAACGCCAAUGGUGAAGACAGCUCGCUGGGGGUGUCCUGACGCUGAGGCGCGAAAGCCAGGGGAGCGAACGGGAUUAGAUACCCCGGUAGUCCUGGCCCUAAACGAUGUCCACUAGAUCAUGGCGGCUCUGACGCCGUCAUGGUCGGAGCAAAAGUGUUAAGUGGACCGCCUGGGAAGUACGGUCGCAAGGCUA
rnacentral:rRNA from 1 species